rnacentral:rRNA from 1 species
GAGUAAUGUCUGGGAAACUGCCUGAUGGAGGGGGAUAACUACUGGAAACGGUGGCUAAUACCGCAUAACGUCGCAAGACCAAAGAGGGGGACCUUCGGGCCUCUUGCCAUCAGAUGUGCCCAGAUGGGAUUAGCUUGUUGGUGAGGUAACGGCUCACCAAGGCGACGAUCCCUAGCUGGUCUGAGAGGAUGACCAGCCACACUGGAACUGAGACACGGUCCAGACUCCUACGGGAGGCAGCAGUGGGGAAUAUUGCACAAUGGGCGCAAGCCUGAUGCAGCCAUGCCGCGUGUAUGAAGAAGGCCUUCGGGUUGUAAAGUACUUUCAGCGGGGAGGAAGGUGUUGUGGUUAAUAACCGCAGCAAUUGACGUUACCCGCAGAAGAAGCACCGGCUAACUCCGUGCCAGCAGCCGCGGUAAUACGGAGGGUGCAAGCGUUAAUCGGAAUUACUGGGCGUAAAGCGCACGCAGGCGGUCUGUCAAGUCGGAUGUGAAAUCCCCGGGCUCAACCUGGGAACUGCAUUCGAAACUGGCAGGCUUGAGUCUUGUAGAGGGGGGUAGAAUUCCAGGUGUAGCGGUGAAAUGCGUAGAGAUCUGGAGGAAUACCGGUGGCGAAGGCGGCCCCCUGGACAAAGACUGACGCUCAGGUGCGAAAGCGUGGGGAGCAAACAGGAUUAGAUACCCUGGUAGUCCACGCCGUAAACGAUGUCUACUUGGAGGUUGUGCCCUUGAGGCGUGGCUUCCGGAGCUAACGCGUUAAGUAGACCGCCUGGGGAGUACGGCCGCAAGGUUAAAACUCAAAUGAAUUGACGGGGGCCCGCACAAGCGGUGGAGCAUGUGGUUUAAUUCGAUGCAACGCGAAGAACCUUACCUGGUCUUGACAUCCACAGAAGAAUCCAGAGAUGGAUUUGUGCCUUCGGGAACUGUGAGACAGGUGCUGCAUGGCUGUCGUCAGCUCGUGUUGUGAAAUGUUGGGUUAAGUCCCGCAACGAGCGCAACCCUUAUCCUUUGUUGCCAGCGGUUAGGCCGGGAACUCAAAGGAGACUGCCAGUGAUAAACUGGAGGAAGGUGGGGAUGACGUCAAGUCAUCAUGGCCCUUACGACCAGGGCUACACACGUGCUACAAUGGCGCAUACAAAGAGAAGCGACCUCGCGAGAGCAAGCGGACCUCAUAAAGUGCGUCGUAGUCCGGAUUGGAGUCUGCAACUCGACUCCAUGAAGUCGGAAUCGCUAGUAAUCGUGGAUCAGAAUGCCACGGUGAAUACGUUCCCGGGCCUUGUACACACCGCCCGUCACACCAUGGGAGUGGGUUGCAAAAGAAGUAGGUAGCUUAACCUUCGGGAGGGCGCUUACCACUUUGUGAUUCAUGACUGGGGUGAAGUCGUAACAAGGUAACCGUAGGGGAACCUGCGGUUGGAUCACCUCCUUACCUUAAAG